UCAGUGGUGCGGAUUAGCCGAUUAUGACACGCCGCCAUGGCCGCCCAGCGCCGCUGUCCAACUCAGCCAUGGACGCCGUAAUGUCGUCGUCAACCUUCGCCAAGUACAGGUGUAGUUCAGUCUUCUUCCCCUCUCUCAUCUUUGAUUUAUUUGCUAUCAACUACUACAUAUUCAGCUAAUUUACUCUAAAUUGUUCAGAGCAGAGCCGAUUCAUUCCACCUUGUUGAAUCACAUAUCAUCUGCGGCCUAAUAAUGCGAGUCAGCGGUUGUGGUAUCUUCCCUCCUCAUCUAAUCCUCCUUGAUUUCUUCUUCUCUGAAGAACGUCAUGAAGAAGCUUCGCUGCUUCAAGGAACAGCAGCUGCAGACAAGCAGAUUGCACUC
rnacentral:lncRNA from 1 species